AACGAACGCUGGCGGCAUGCCUAACACAUGCAAGUCGAACGAGAUCUUCGGAUCUAGUGGCGCACGGGUGCGUAACGCGUGGGAAUCUGCCCUUGGGUUCGGAAUAACAGUGAGAAAUUACUGCUAAUACCGGAUGAUGUCUUCGGACCAAAGAUUUAUUGCCCAGGGAUGAGCCCGCGUAGGAUUAGCUAGUUGGUGGGGUAAUGGCCUACCAAGGCGACGAUCCUUAGCUGGUCUGAGAGGAUGAUCAGCCACACUGGGACUGAGACACGGCCCAGACUCCUACGGGAGGCAGCAGUGGGGAAUAUUGGACAAUGGGCGAAAGCCUGAUCCAGCAAUGCCGCGUGAGUGAUGAAGGCCUUAGGGUUGUAAAGCUCUUUUACCAGGGAUGAUAAUGACAGUACCUGGAGAAUAAGCUCCGGCUAACUCCGUGCCAGCCGCCGCGGUAA
rnacentral:rRNA from 1 species